AGCUCCAAUAGCGUAUAUUAAAGUUGUUGCGGUUAAAAAGCUCGUAGUUGGAUUUCUGUUGAGGAUGGGCGGUCCGCACUUUGUGCUGGUAUUUGUUACAGCCUCGGCAUCCUCUUGAAGAACGGUACUGUGAUUCAUUUCGUGGUCCGGAAUUCAAGACUUUUACUUUGAGGAAAUUAGAGUGUUCACGGCAAGCAAUCGCUUUGAAUACAUUAGCAUGGAAUAAUAAUAUAGGACCUUGGUACUAUUUUGUUGGUUUCUAGAACUAAGGUAAUGAUUAAUAGGGAUAAUUGGGGGCAUUCGUAUUAACGCGUCAGAGGUGGAAUUCUUGGAUUGCGUUACGACGAACUACUGCGAAAGCAUUUGCCAAGGAUGUUUUCA
rnacentral:rRNA from 1 species